CAACGACUAGUUUAAUCUAAAACAACUAAUUUCGGCCUAGUAAAUCACACGAUAGGCCUGUGGUCGUUAA
rnacentral:tRNA from 1 species